CGGGGUAUAGCUCAGCAUGGUAGAGCGGGCGCUUUGGGUGCGUCAGGUCAGGAGUUCGAAUCCCCUUACCCCGACCA
rnacentral:tRNA from 1 species